AAUGGAGCGAAAUUACACGUGUUGGACUUGAAGAAGAAAACUUAUGUUUUAUCGACUCUUUCUUCAUUUUUUUUUCAGCUUCUUCUUCUCCAAAAUACUUUUAACAUCAGAAUUUUUCAAGCCUCCAUGAAGAAAUCUAAGCUUUCUUCUCAGGGGAAAUCUAACCUUUCUUCCUCACUCUUCCAAUUAGAACAAAAACAAACCCUAAAAUACUUUGUUUCAAUCUGUGGAGCAAAAGCCCUUUUCCUCUAUAGAUCGAAGCUUUUUGAAGGUAAGCGUGAUGUUAUUUUCUUCUCCUUAUCUUUCAAUUAGACUCCAUUUUUAGUAGCUAAUCUUCAGAUUCGCUGAUUUUAUUUUAUUUUUUAUUCAAUUUUUUCUACUUCUUGGUGCGGAUUUAGUUUAAAAAUGUGAAGUAUAAUAGAGUUUAUAUGCUUAUUCUGGGAUUUCAUGAUUAUUAUUGAAAGUAUUGUUGAUUUUAUUCAAUUUUUGCUACUUCUGUCUAAUAGAUAAUUAUUAAAAGGAUUGUUGAUUUUUUCGGCAACGAUGUGGAUCUGUGUUCCAAGUUUAGUGUAAUUAUUGAUUAACAUGUAAUAGAACAAGUGAGGAUUUAUUUGAGUUGUGAGAUUAAUUGGUUUGAUUUGAUUGUCUAUGUAUGUGUUUUGGGUCAUUUUGAUUGUGUUUAAUUUGAAUCUGAUCAUGGUGGUGCAUGAUGAUGUGUGUUAGUAUCAUUUUGAGCAUGUUAGUUAUUAGCCUCAAGAGCUGUAUUAAUUGCCUUUUUGAUUGUUUGAAAUCUGUAUAGUUUGAAGUUCUUAAUUGUGAAAAGUUCUUAAUUCUUGUAGAUAUGUUUUGCAUUCGAGGAGUAAUCUGUGGAUGACCUUUUUGAUUGUUCUGUUUACUAUAAGUUUCAUUGUCAUGUUCUCAUAAUCUAGCACAAAUGGAUAAGAGUUGGAUGCAAAAAGGUAGGGGUCAUCAUGACUACAUUCGUGGUUGUGAUGAGUUUUUGACAUUUGCUUGGGCUCAUCGUACUGCUGAUUUGGGUGAGAAUAUAUACUGCCCGUGUAUCUCCUGCAACAAUGGUAUCCCAAAGUCUAGAAAAUUGGUGAGAUGGCACAUAUUGUGGAGGGGAAUAACACGAACUUACACAUGUUGGAAGAAACAUGGGGAGGCAUAAGUAAAUGUUAUUCAUGAUGAGGUUCCAAACGCUACAGAGGGGCAUGAUAUGCAUGGUUUGUUACGAGGUUCAUUCCCAGCAUCAAGGUUUCUUUCAAGGGAUGAUGAUGUUUCGGGACAACCCAAUUCAGAUGGAGAAAUCCAGCAUGAGAGUGUUGCAGAGGAGCCGUACGUGGAGGCGCAAAAGUUUUAUAAGUUGUUAAAGGAGGCAGAAACACCGUUGUACCCUGGAUGUACAACAGCUACUAAUUUAUCUUUUCUUGUCUCGCUGUUACACCUAAAAUGUUCUAACAAGAUGAGUAACAAAGCUUUUGACGAACACCUUUCUUUGUUAAGCCAUACGUACCCGUAGAGCAGUAUACCCAAGAAUUAUUAUGAAGCAAAGAAGCAAAUUCGUGAUCUUGGUAUGGAGUGCAUCAAAAUAGAUGCAUGCCCAAAUGAUUGUAUGUUGUACUCGAAAGGAUUGGAUCGUCAAAAGAACAGAUGUGAUGUAUGUGGGGAAUCUAGGUGGAUUAAAGGUACGGGUGGGUCUGCAGAAGAAGUAGCGAAUGGUUCACAUAAAAUUAAGAGAAAGCCUGCAAAGUUUUUGAGAUAUUUUCCGUUAAAACCAAGACUUCAGAGGUUGUUUAUGUGCUCCAGAACGUCCAAGGAGAUGAUAUGGCAUGCAGAGGGUCGUACGAGAGAUGGCAUCUUAAGGCAUCCAGCAGAGACAGAAGCUUGGAAAUCUUUAGACGAGAAAUUUCCAGAAUUUGGGUAUGAACGUCGCAAUGUAAGACUCGGGUUAGCAAGUGAUGGGUUUAAUCCAUUCGGCACUAUGAGUACUAGUCAUAGCACGUGGCCAGUCUUUGUUAUUCCUUAUAAUCUUCCUCCGUGGAUGUGUAUGAGGCAACCUAAUUUUAUCAUGUGUUUGCUUAUUCCCGAGCCUAAAGGUCCUGGGAAUAAUAUUGAUGUAUACCUUCCAAUUGGAGAAAGAUUAGCAUUUUCUUUCAACUACCAUAUUGGAAUUAUCUUCUCCUGCGACAUAAUAUUGAUGUAAUGCAUACUGAAAAGAACAAUAGCGAGAGUUGGUUAGGGACGUUAUUAAAUAUUGAGGGUAAGACGAAGGAUAAUUUGAAGGCUCGGCUGGAUAUGGAGGAUAUGGGUAUACUUUCACCACUUCAUGCUAAGCCUUUGGGGAACAACAAAUACUACCUUCCCUCUGCAACACAUACCCUGGAUUUGGACGAGAGGAGGAAGUUGUGUCAGUUUCUCAGUGAGUUGAAGGUUCCUGAUGGAUACUCGUCGAAUAUUUCACGUCAUGUUCAGGUGCAAGAAUGUAAAAUUCCAGGGCUAAAAAGUCAUCACUGGCAUGUUCUUAUGCAGCAGCUUCUACCAGUUGCAGCACGUGGUAUACUACACAGAGAUGUAACCAAAGUGUUGGUCGAGUAUUCAAAUUUUUAUAAGCAGUUAUGUUCAAAGACAUUAGACAUUAAGGAUCUGCAAAAGCUUGAAAAGCAGAUUUCUCUGACAUUAUGCAAAAUGGAAAUGAUAUUCCCUCCUGCAUUUUUUGAUAUUAUGACACACUUGCCGAUACAUCUAGCAAGAGAAGCCAUGAUAGCGGGACCAGUUCAUUACCGGUGGAUGUAUCCAUUCGAACGGUACUUGUACACCUUAAAACAGUAUGUGCGAAAUAAAAGUCGCCCGGAGGGUUCAAUUGCUCAAGGGUACCUUCUUGAUGAAUGCUUGACAUUCUGUUCGAGAUACUUUGGUGUUGAGGUUAAUACGAAGUUCAACCAGCUAUGGAGAAACAGUGAUGGUGAUUUUACAGUAGCACCAGUUUCUCAAUUGCGCAUCUUUAAAGCAGCAGGACGUUCUUUAGGGAAAGAGACCCAUCAAACUUUAACUGACGAAGAGUGGGAGCAAGCUCGUACAUACGUAUUGAGAAAUUGUAAUGAAGUAUCUCCAUUUAUUGCGAAACACGAGCAAAAAAAUUCUUGAUGUUUAUGGAGGAAACAUCCUUCCAAUUGACUUGGAUCGAAUUCAUGCAAGAGAGUUCGUAAAAUGGUUUGAAUCUCAUGUUCAGAAGAUGAAACAAGAGGGUGAGGUGAUCAGCAAGGAUAUUGAAAAUUUAUCACUUGGGCCUAAAAGAUUCGUAAGUUGUUUUAAAGGAUAUAUUGUGAAUGGGUUUAGGUUUCACACCGCAGAGCAUGAGAAAUUUAGAAAAACACAGAAUAGUGGAGUUUUCUUGAGUGCGGAGACUUCUAGCUUUGACACUGGAAAUAACGCAAGUCCCGCUAUAAAGAAUGUUGAAUAUUAUGAAGUAUUAGAUGACAUUGUGGCAUUACAAUAUCGUGAAUGGAGGCAAAUAUUUUUAUAUAAAUGUCACUGGUGGUCUGUGAAGAGCCCAGGAAAGAAGAUAGAUGAAUUUGGGUUUACGUCAUUGGAUUUCACAAGAACCAUAGCCAAGGAUGAAUCUUUCAUUCUUGCAAAGCAAGCGCUACAGGUUUUCUAUGUCAAAGACAACCGAGACAAGAACCGACGUAUUGUACUUAAUAUGCAGCCAAGGGAUUUCUAUGAUAUGGGUAUACAGGAAGUUGAGCUCAUCCAAGAAGAAUCAUCUCGCGCAAAUGAUAAUGCAACUACUACAAAUAAAAAUGAAACUGCUACAGUCAACACUGUUGAAGUUGACAAUUGGACCCGAAAUGAAAUUGAAGGAGAAGAAUUGAUCAGAAGUACUGCCGCUAAUGAUGACGAUGAUUCCGCUGAUGAUAGUAACAGUGACCCUAGUGAUUAUCUUAGUGAUUGUGAACAAGAUGAUUUAGUAUAAGAUAAUUUUUGUUAGUAUAACUGUUAAAAAGAUUAGUAAUUUGAAUCUACUGUUUCAGGUA